UGUCGCGUUUGUGGGUGCAAUUUUUUCGAAAUAUUCGAUUCUAAACAGGAGAUUGUGGGUAUAAUUACGGAAGUAUUAAAUCGCAAAUGUGUGCAAUCGUUAUGCAAGUUAUUUAAUAAAUUUGUGAGAUAUGGAAUGCUAAAAAAGGAAUUAUUAAGGCUUGAAAACGUCUCGGUGUACGGAAGAAAAUAAAGAAAAAGGGGAAAAUGAAUGCAAAGAAGGCGGUUUUGGGUAAAUCGUAACUAAGUCAUUGAUGAAAGUGAGAAACAAGUCUCGCUUGCGCCCAUAUUUAUUAAUACUACCGGUUUGACAGUUGCUUAUUUUGACACUAUCGCGUAGCUAUUCAUACAUUCAUCUCGUUACACUGGCACAGUGAAAACGAAACGGAAUAUUUGAAACUGUUGAUCGCAAGCUGUCGCAAGUGUGAUUCGAAGAAGCGAACAAAGGCGUAAAGAAUUUAGGUAAAUGAAAAGUCAGAUGAAUUUGCGAAAGCGUGAAAACGGAAACAGAACGUAGCGGCUUUUGUUUUAGCAAAAAUAACUUACCAUUGCGCUAAAAUAAAAUAAUUUAUCAUUGUAAUUAUGACAGUGAAGUAGUAAAGAUCAGUGUUUGGACAAAAAUAUAACUUGAAUGUAAAUCUAAAGAACAUUGUUGACAUAGUUGAAUCUUGAAAUGAAUAUUUGUGUGUAUUUUACGUGUCUCUUGAUGGCUUAAAUUACGUGUCUAUAAAAAAAAACAACAAUACAGAACAAGUGGUUUCAACAUAUUUUCAGCUAGAUACUCCUUAAAUAUAUAACUUUUUUGUAAAAAAGUGUGUGUUAAAAAUAUCAGAGUGAUAUCUGUGUUAUAAAAAAAAAAAAACAAAAAAAUUGUGAAUAAAUGAAGGUAUCGAAGUUAAUUUAUAUAUACCUUAGCAAGUGGACGAAUUUUUGAAAAAAACCAAAUAUAUCAGCGAUCAUUCAGUGCUUAAUAUCUACAAAAAACUAGUAUUGCUGUUAUCAUCAAAGUCCCUGAUUAAAAAUUUAUUCUACCACGACAAAAAUGAUAAAAAUAGCAAUGUCGCAAAAGAAAACUAUAUAAGUAUCACUAACUGCCUAACGAAGAUAGUAA